rnacentral:rRNA from 1 species
ACGAACGCUGGCGGCGUGCCUAACACAUGCAAGUCAACUUGACUGAAGGAGCAAUCUGACAGUAGAGUGGCGCAAGGGUGCGUAACGCGUAAGUAACUUGCCCCAAGGUAAGGAAUAACGUCGAGAAAUCGGCGCUAAUACCUCAUAAUGCAGCGGAUCCGCAUGGAUAUGUUGUUAAAGGUUUACCGCCUUGGGAUAGGCUUGCGUCUGAUUAGCUAGUUGGUGUGGUAACGGCACACCAAGGCUACGAUCAGUAACUGGUCUGAAAGGAUGAUCAGUCACACUGGAACUGAGACACGGUCCAGACUCCUACGGGAGGCAGCAGUGAGGAAUAUUGGGCAAUGCUCGAAAGAGUGACCCAGCAACGCCGCGUGGAGGAUGAAGGUAUUCUAUAUCGUAAACUCCUGUGAGAGCAGACGAAAGACAGAUUAUUAAUCUGGAUGACUGUAUGCUCAGAGGAAGCCCCGGCUAACUACGUG